rnacentral:rRNA from 1 species
UACAGAGGUCCCAAGCGUUGUUCGGAUUCAUUGGGCGUAAAGGGUGCGUAGGCGGCGCGGUAAGUCGGGUGUGAAAUCUCGGAGCUUAACUCCGAAACUGCAUUCGAUACUGCCGUGCUUGAGGACUGGAGAGGAGACUGGAAUUUACGGUGUAGCGGUGAAAUGCGUAGAUAUCGGAAGGAACAUCAGUGGCGAAAGCGGCUUCCUGGACCAGUACCGACGUUCAGGCACGAAAGCGUGGGGAGCAAACAGG